GGAGAAAUGGCAGAUAGUAAUGUAUUUAGCUUGAAACUAAAACGAUAAAGGUUUAAAUCCUUUUUUCUCUU
rnacentral:tRNA from 1 species